CCUAAAAGGUAGUCAACGCCAGUCCAAAAAAUUUCACGCUCUCUCUCUCUCUCAAACUCUCGCACUGGAUUCCAUCUCCCUCUCAAUUUUUUCAAUCCCUCUCAAACUCUCGCCCUAACUUCCGUAUCCGUCUCACUUUUUUCAGUCCCCUCUCCCUCUCAUUUUUUUUUCCAGUCCCUCUCAAACUCUCUCUUUCUUCUCUCUCCUCCAUCAUUGCCUCUUUCUCUCUCAGACUCUCCGACCAAGGUCGGCUAUUCCGCCAGGGCUAAAGCCCAGCCAUCCCUGCCCUCCCUGAGUUGCGGCGAGCUUCGAAAGGUUCAAGAGGUUUUUGACUUUCAGUCGCUAUUUCCGGCGACUCCGGCCACUGUUUUCGUCGAGUGAGUAUGAAGAACAUGGGGAAAAGUUUGUGGACAUGUUGGAUGGUAUGUUAUCCUUUGUCCUCCUUGACAUGAGAGACAACAGUUAUAUUGCUGCUUGAGAUGCAAUUGGUAUCACCCCACUUUACAUGGACUGGGUGUCACGCCCCAGACCCGGGGAUCGGUGGAAACCCCACGCCCGGUGCGUAAGAAAAAAAAAAGUAAAAUAAAAAAUAAAAAGAAGCCGAAAUAUGGGUUUAAAAUAAACUUCUCUUAUAAAAAUAGAUCCAAAAUCUUACAACUUUACAAGAAAUAAAUAAAGCUUUAUCACUCUCAUCUAAUUCAGCCUCAACCGGUUUAGUCCUUGUCUUACCCACUAAUUCAUCUGAAAAAUUAAACAGGUUGAUGGAUGUAACCAACCACGUGACCCCUAGUUUCAAAAUAUGAGAAACUCUUGGAGCUUGGUUUGAGUGAUAGUAUAUGAAGAUAGGUAGAUGGGUUGUCUUGCCAAUUUAUUUUAAGGGCUCUCAUUAUCGAGGUGAGUGGUUUAUGUAAUGUGUUCGAAAAGUUCUUAUUUUGUGAUAAAAUACCAUGAAUUAUCGUAGAUUUGUUCUAUUUACGAAUAUCUCUUUAUUUCAAGUCAAGCAUGUCUAAUUUGUGCAAUCUUUCACACUAUAUAUAUUGAUUGGAAUAUUUAUGAAGUAUGUAUUAUUCAUGGAACAUGAGAACUUCAAUGUUGGAGUAUCCGAGGGAUAGAUGUACCACACAGGGACAUAGGGUAGUGAGGCCAAUAGGGGUCACGUGGUUGUUUACAUGUUAUGAAGGAUAAUCGAGAUAUGAAGGGAUGAUGUGAUAUGAUAUGGAUUGGUGUAUCUUUUCAUGAUAUUUUCUAGAGUGUGUAAACCGAUUGAGGCUAGUUAUGCUCCUAUUUAUAGUGGUUAUAGGGAUAGGAUAAACUUCAAUAUUAAAAGGAUAAGAACAUCCAAAUUUAUCCAAAAGAUAAAUAUCUUAAAAAGAUAAUAUCGUCCAAAUUUAUCUAAAAGAUAAAUAUCUUCUUUUAUCCGUUUAAAAUAUGAGUCUUCACUGGGGUCUUGAUGGUAUGGACUAUGUCAGUUUCAAAAAGAAAAGAAAAAUUAACUUUAAUGUUUAGUCUACCCAAAUUUGCUUUGACUAUUACUUUGAUUUUUCAUUCCUCUUGUUGAAAAUAAAAAAGCUUUGAUUCUCAAAGCAAACACAAAUAAGCUUUGAUUUACCAAAAUUGACUGUACGCGACCAAAAAACUGUUAUUUGCUUGACUGUUGCUUUAUAUUUCUCUUUGCACUAGUAAAAGACUUUCUGUUUUUAAUGUUAUAUUGUGUUUUCAGUAACAGUCCACAUUUAAGCCUUCAUCAUAUAAUGAGUACUCUACAGACAGACAUAUAAUGAGUACUGAUUUCUUUACAUGAUGAAUCUUUAACUGAUGAUUGUGAAAGAUUCAUAUCUUUUCCUCCUGGGCAUAUCUACUCUAGCAAGCAAGGUAUGAAUAUGCUGACCUCUUGUUAGCAUUAAGGAUUUCUAUUUAUGAAAUUAAGAAAGUAAUGGCUUUGUUAGUCAUCAACGUUUUGAUAAAAAUCAAGUGAAAUUUGAAUACAGCUUCCUCUUGUAAUGUAUUUUUUUCCAUUUAAAAAAGAAAAAAAAAAGAGAGGAGAAGAAAUGAUUCUAUUAUACUUCAGCAACUGAAGGUAUUUUGAAAAAUAACCAAAGAUUUUGACAUAUCUUUAUCUUUAUUGUUUCUUUUUGUAUAUUCAUUUUGGAUAAGUAAUUACCUUCAAAAGGUUAAGAACUUGUAAACUUUUGGGUAAGUAAUUAUCUUCAAAAUUUGAGAACUUAUAAACUAAGUGUUGUCUUUUUAUAUUCAUGUAACUAGAAUUUAAAAAUCAUCACGAUGUUGUAUCCACUGUAAUUUUAUUUAUCCACAAACUUAUGUCUUCAGGAGGGCUUAGAAGGUGGUACAACCCGCCGUGGUUUUCAUAAUGGAAUCUUUGAACUUAUUGCUCUUUAUGCAUUUUUAGGGCAUGCUUGGUCUAUAAAUUGUUUCGGGAGCCAUGAAUGUGAAUUUUUAAGAGGACUUUCUUGAAUGGAAAAAGGGUUGAAAAAAAUAAAAUUUGCAUCUGCUAUGUCUCUUUAUAUCUAAAUGCAGACUGUAAUUCUUCUUAUUAUGUUUUUCUUCAUUUUGUUCUCACUUGAUAUGCUGAGGUCUGGUUGCAUAUGGUUCACCAUUGACUCUUAUCUUACUCUUAACAAAAAAAUUGAUUCUUGCUUAUGAAUUCUGUUUUUGCAAAUUUUCAAUCUCUGUAUCAUAAGACAAUAAUAUAUAUAUGGUACAUGGCUUAUUUCUUUAAGAGUUUAAUUUCAUCUAUAAGAAAAUAAUAUACUUGAAAUAUUUUAUUUAUCUGAACGUCAAUUCAAUUUACAGGAAAUUCAAAAUAGGAUAUGUAAAUUUAGUACCUUGCACUUUUUAAGCUUAUGUUCAUAUAGAGCUAGACGGAAGGACACGUAUACCCAAAUGGAAUUGGAUGAGGUGCGAGAAGGUACCCAUUUUUUUAUUUUUUCUUUCUCUUCAAUUCCUGGUUGUUUGUACUUUCUGAGAAGGUAUCCAAACAAAAUGAAUGUAUGAAAUGAUCUCAUAUGAAACAAAGAGAACUCCAUUAAUUUGAAUUUGAAA